CAUGGUUCUUCUCCCCCUCUCGUUUCCCCAACUUCACUUUUCCCUUCCUUCUCCUAAUGUCCUCCAUGUUAUUCCUUAUGUUCCAGAUGGCAUCUCAGCUCCUUCUGAAGUUUGGCUACUGUGGACAUUGCUGCUAUGAAUAUUGAGGUUCAUGUCGCCCUUCUUUUCACAACAUCUGUGUCUUUAGGGUAAGUACCCAGCAACGCAAUUGUUGGAUCAUAGGGUAGUUCUAUUUUCAAUUUUUUGAGGAACUUCCAUACUGUUUUCCAAAGUGGCUGCACCAACUUGGAUUCCCACCAACAGUGUAAGAGGAACACUCUUACACUUUCU
rnacentral:lncRNA from 1 species